rnacentral:rRNA from 1 species
CCUGAGAAACCCGAAAGAUCGAAUGGGGAGAUUCAUCGUCAACUUAUUCGAUAUAUGUAUGAGUUAUGAUAUGAAUUGUUCUCUCACGAGAAUAUAAAUUUGUACAUACUUUUAUUAUUUUAUUGUUGAAUAUUGUCGGCGUGCACUUCUCCCCUAGUAGGACAUCGCGACCCGCUGAGUGUUGAUCUAUGGCCCGAUUGGGAGCCUUUGAUUGUAAAAAAUCGAAGACCAAUUGGUGAGUUCUGAUCAACUGCUCGGCGGUACUCGUAUGGUAUUGAGUCGCAUUCAUAUGCGUCCACACCCAUUGCAAGCGCGAUCAGAAUCCCGGUAGUCACGGACUUAGUGCCGUCGCUGGGUCUGAUCAGCUGUUGGUAUUGUGGUGUUCUGUGACUGACUCUAAAAAUACCGGUUA